AACGAACGCUGGCGGCAGGCUUAACACAUGCAAGUCGAGCGCCCCGCAAGGGGAGCGGCAGACGGGUGAGUAACGCGUGGGAAUCUACCCAUCACUGCGGAACAACUCCGGGAAACUGGAGCUAAUACCGUAUACGUCCUUCGGGAGAAAGAUUUAUCGGUGAUGGAUGAGCCCGCGUUGGAUUAGCUAGUUGGUGGGGUAAUGGCCUACCAAGGCGACGAUCCAUAGCUGGUCUGAGAGGAUGAUCAGCCACACUGGGACUGGGACACGGCCCAGACUCCGACGGGAGGCAGCAGUGGGGAAUAUUGGACAAUGGGCGAAAGCCUGAUCCAGCCAUGCCGCGUGAGUGAGGACGGCCCUAGGGUUGUAAAGCUCUUUCGCAGGUGAAGAUAAUGACGGUAACCUGAGAAGAAGCCCCGGCUAACUUCGUGCCAGCAGCCGCAGUAAUAC
rnacentral:rRNA from 1 species